GAUCAUGGCUACAGAACGAACGCUGGCGGCAUGCCUAACACAUGCAAGUCGAACGAGACCUUCGGGUCUAGUGGCGCACGGGUGCGUAACGCGUGGGAAUCUGCCCUUCGGUUCGGAACAACAGUUAGAAAUGACUGCUAAUACCGGAUAAUGACGUAAGUCCAAAGAUUUAUCGCCGAAGGAUGAGCCCGCGUAAGAUUAGGUAGUUGGUGGGGUAAUGGCCUACCAAGCCGACGAUCUUUAGCUGGUCUGAGAGGAUGAUCAGCCACACUGGGACUGAGACACGGCCCAGACUCCUACGGGAGGCAGCAGUGGGGAAUAUUGGACAAUGGGCGAAAGCCUGAUCCAGCAAUGCCGCGUGAGUGAUGAAGGCCUUAGGGUUGUAAAGCUCUUUUACCAGGGAUGAUAAUGACAGUACCUGGAGAAUAAGCUCCGGCUAACUCCGUG
rnacentral:rRNA from 1 species